AAACAAGCUUACAUCAAUGAUGACUUGAUGGAGAAAAAAAAGCUGGCCAGAAGGAUGGAGUGGAAGGGGAAGGAAAAAGAACAGACACAGCUUUGUUUUAUGAACAGACUGAUUCUUUAAGUUUUUAACAUGAGCAACAAUAGUAAAAUCAAGUUGGUUCUAUAGACAUACAGUAGAGUCUUGCUCCUCCAACCUUUGCUUAUCCAACAUUCUGGAUUAUCCAACGCAGUCUGCCUCCCGCCCGGAUCCACAACUGUUUCUCUAAGCAGCAAGGACUGAACUUUUUACGCAUUUAACUUCCAACAAUGUUGUUACUGUAAGUUCAUUUUAUGCAAUUCUAUCUUUAUU
rnacentral:lncRNA from 11 species